GAGCUGCAUGUAGAAGUAAUGGUUGAGUAUGUGAGGCGAAUGAUGAAGAGAAAUCUGAAACUGAAAGGCAAAGAGAAGCAGCUGCUGAGUUCAUCUGCCACGACAGCAAUAAAAUCUGUUCUGUGUUUGCCAAAGUGGGAUCCAGAGAGGAAUGGCUCUGUCAAAUACUGCCCAAAUUAUCAGAGAUUCUGAGAUUACAGGAUAUUGGGAGUUUACAGCUAUAAAGAUAGUUAUUCUGGCAAGAGACUAUCCUGACAUUAGUGAGCAGCAUGUUCUUGCUCUCCUAAACCUGAAGACCAGCCUUUCGAGCUCAGAUGUGUGUAGGAUCGAAGGGUCUUUGAG